ACUUAUCUAAGGUACCUUUAAGUCUAUCUACCUUAUAUUUGAGAUGCAUGCACGAGGAACAAUUUUUAAUAGAACUUUCGGGCUUGUCGGCGCUUCUUUUUCCGAAAAACUUGUUUUCCUCUUUCAGCUUCUCAUUUUCUAAAACACGUUUUUCUAAAUCCUUUUCUUUCAAAGAAAGCUGUUUUUGAAAAUCUUUUUCUUUUAGAGAAGCAUUUUCUUUUAUGCUCUUGAC
rnacentral:lncRNA from 1 species